rnacentral:rRNA from 1 species
UACGGAGGAUGCGAGCGUUAUCCGGAUUUAUUGGGUUUAGAGGGUGCGUAGGCGGGAUGCCAAGUCAGCGGUAAAAAUGCGGUGCUCAACGCCGUCGAGCCGUUGAAACUGGCGUUCUUGAGUGGGCGAGAAGUAUGCGGAAUGCGUGGUGUAGCGGUGAAAUGCAUAGAUAUCACGCAGAACUCCGAUUGCGAAGGCGGCAUACCGGCGCCCUACUGACGCUGAGGCACGAAAGCGUGGGUAUCGAACAGG